UCCUUGUAGAACAUGUAGGGAAGUGUUUA
rnacentral:piRNA from 1 species